UAUAGACAAGCUUACACAGUUAAAAGAAUGUGUAGGGAACAUUUGUACACAGUAUUGUAAAGUAGUAUUAAUUUUUUAUAAUGUGUUUUGCCCCCACGCCCAAUUCCUUUGAGAGCACAUGCGCUAACCAUUAGCCAGAUACCAGCUAAUGCAGGAUAACAAUGUCCAGUCUAAGUGCCCUACAGUACAUUAUAUAUCAGUUGUCUGAAUCGUAUCAGGAAUGUUGUUAAGUGGCAGUCUGUAAAAGCUAGACAUAAUAUGCUAAUGUGUUGUCAGGUAUAUACAAUAUAAGUUCUUUUUAAUUAUGCCAACACUAAAAAUUGUUACCCGAGGCAUGCGUGGGCGGCCACGGGCAUAGUAGUUCGUUGGUUGUUUGUUUGUUUGUUUGUCUGUUUGUCAGAUCUGAGUCUACUCACCUGGAUGCCACAGCAUUUACAGCGUAGAUAGCCUCAACACAACAAGUUCUUAUAAUAUUGGCAGAGCUUUGUUGUCGAAUACUAAGAAGCUUUUGCUCGUUGCAGCUAGCUAACUGCACGCAGCCUUUAGCCCUGUUUACACGCAAAGUAAUGCGCAUUGUAAUCCAGAUUAGAUAAUGCGCAUUAGUGCGUUUACACAGCCACGAAGCCAGUUGUGGUUUUAUGCUGUGUAAACAGUCUGAACCGGAUUAGUAACCUCUUGCAAAGUGCUUCAAUUGGAAAAGAAGUAAGAAUCUUGGAAAGAGGACCUUAUGUAACAGUUUGGAGUGAUCUGAUGGCUCACAAUAAUAAAACAACAAGCUGUAAUUAAAAGUAAAAAGAAUUCAGCAAGAAGAAGAACUCGUUUUUAUGAGAGACAGGCUCAAGAACGUUUGCUGUUUGCUAUGACAAUGUCUUUAGCAACAGCCAGAAUGUCCUCAACACCAAGAACUAUCUGGACAAGAGAAAGAAGUUCUCAGUGGUGGGAGCGGGUUGUAAUGGAAACGUUUACCCAUCAAGACUGGAUGCACAAUUUCCGAAUGAGCCGAGAGACGUUUUUAUUCGUCUGCCAGGAAUUAAAAUCUAUUGAAAAAAGAAAUACCUCGAUGAGGAAAGCCAUUCCACUCCAAAAAAGGGUUUCUAUCGCUCUAUGGUUUCUCUCCACCAAUUCUGAUUUUAGAACGAUUAGCCAUUUGUUUGGUGUCUCUAAAGCAUCGGUUUGCCUCAUAACCAAAGAUGUGUAUGUGCAUUGUUGACCAUCUACUUCCUAAGUAUAUCCGUAUGCCUUGUGGUGAUGCAUUGAAGCAAGUGGUGGCUGGGUUUAAAGAGAAAUUGGGGUUUCCACAGUGCGUUGGAGCAAUUGACGGUACACAUAUACCUAUAAUCUCACCACAAGAGUGCCCAGCCGACUAUUACAACAGAAAAGGUUGGCAUUCUAUCAUUCUCCAAGGAUUGGUCGAUCACAAUGGUCUUUUCAUGGACAUUUACGUUGGCUGGCCAGGACGAGUCCACGAUGCAAGAGUUUUCUCCAAUUCCUCACUGUUCAGAAAAGGUCAAGAAGGAUCAUUGGUACCCACUUUGACGGAGAUGAUAGAGCAGUGUGAAAUUCCACUCGUGAUUCUAGGUGAUCCUGCAUAUCCACUUUUAAAGUGGCUCAUGAAGGCCUAUCCCGACACAGGACGUCUCACCCUUGAACAGAAGACUUUCAACUAUCUCCUUAGUAAAGCUCGAGUGGUUGUUGAGCAUGCGUAUGGUCGUUUGAAGGCUCGAUGGAGAUGUUUGAUGAAGCGUAAUGACACCAAUAUUUGUGAUAUACCUAACAUUGUCUCAGCUUGCUGUGUUUUGCACAACAUCUGUGAACUUCGAGGGGAAUCAUUUGAUGACGAGUGGAUUGAGAGUGACUCAUCAUUUAGUAUGAUUAGACAGUCGGCAUCUGACUCAGUAGAUAUUAGUGGUGACCAGAUAAGGAGUGCAUUAACACAAUAUUUCAGUACAUGAUAUUAAUGUGACGUAUAAUUAUAAUUAUAUGUAAUAAGGACUGUAAUACUAUGAUUAUAAUUAUAACGUUUGAUGAUUGAAGUUAGUAAUUCGAGUCUUGGUUAAAUGAUUGUGAUGGUGGCGGGAAGUACUGUCUUGGCUGCUGUAUCAUCUGUCCAAGCAUUUGCAUCAUCUGUAGUUGAUGUGCCUGUUCCUCCUUUCUUCUCACGUCUUCUAAUUUUCUCUCUUUAUCCCAUCUUUCUUCCUCUCUUUUUUCAAAUCUUUCCUCUGCUUCUCUCUGGUAGCUUAAGAAUGUCUCCGUCUGCCUCUCCAUAGCCUUUUCUGUCUUGUUUUUUCUGGGGUUUUUUGUUUUAGGGGGAGCACCUGUGUGUGUAGAUUUUAAGUGUGUGCACUUGUAUGUUUUCUAUGAACUUACAUUCAUCUGUUUUCUCCUUUUCAGAUGUACUGGCCUCUCCUAAGUAUCAAGUGUAUCAUUAUAAUUAUUGUACCGUCUGUAUCCUCCACAAUCUUAUCCACCCUUUCCUCCAUCUCAGAGCUUGUGUCAACGAGGAAAGAUGGAGCGGAGGCUGGUCGGUGCCCCAGAAUCCUAUCCAGCUCGUCAUAAAACUUACAUGUUUUCCUCCUUUCCCCAGUCUUGUUAUUGCUAUCCUUUACUUUUUUGUAGUUUGUUUUUAAGUUUUUAAUUUUUAUCCUACAUUGCGUCCAGUCUCUUUCAUAUUCCUUUUUCUUCAUUUCUUGUGCUAUUUUUUCGUAAAUUACUUUAUUUCUUACAGCUCCGUCCAGUUGCUGCUGCAAGUCACUAGCUCCCCAGAUAGCUAUUAGUGCCUUCAUUUCAUUGUCACUCCAGUAUGUGCCUCUGUUCAUUGUCUUCUCUUCUUAUAGGACUUCUUAUGCCACAAAUGAAUUCUUUG